rnacentral:lncRNA from 1 species
GGCAUUGAUACAGAAAAGCCAUUCGACAUGUUAUAACUGAGGAAAAACAUAGGUCAUUUUGUGAAUUCCAUUUUAUUUACAUUCUUCUUACAUGAUACUUUUUACAUAGCUUAUUAGUGGUACCUUGCCCAUGGUGUCUUAUUGAAGAAUCAGCUCAAUUGCCUUUUAACGAGCAUUCCGUGAUAAUGCCGCCUCAAAACCAGAAACGACAUGGAAUAGCGUGAUGUGAUAAUGAAAAUGGCAAGCGAGCUGCGAUUCAUUGGCAGCAAAUCAUCUGCGUUGCAGGGUGCCCCACCUCUCGAAUCGUACCGACGAACUCGUGCAAUAAAGAUCACCACCAACUGCGUGCAUCGACGCGCGCAACAAUCUUCAUUUACUAAUACGGAACGAAGGUGCCAAGACGAAGACCUCGAAGAACGUCAGCUGAAGCAAACAUCAAGAGAAGAUGAACAAGUGCACAUCAGCUGUUCACCGUGGCAGUAGUUCGAGGCGCAUAUGAGUAGUAUUAGCGGUAAAGGCCACUACGAAAUAGCUAUCCAGUCAGCCGGUGCGUCAAGCAGCCACAUUAAGAACAUUAAGAUGUAGUUGACCCAAUUGGCGCCGGUGCCGCUGAUCUGGCAUCGGUUUCCUGCUCCAGCAGCUGGUCUUCCCUCUUCAGCAGACGAGCCAUAUCAUCGACAGGAAGACACAUGACGGCACUAUGCUGCCCGCCAAAGCCGUCAGCGACUACUCAACUACACAUUAGUUUGUCAGUUAAGGCAAUGGCCAAGCAAUGUAUUAUACGCAUUGUAACCCCUUACUUCUAACGUAUACAUGCUGCUGAUACGGAACAAAGAGCACGCUUGCAGUCAUCUAAAUAGCCAUCAAAGAUUAUACAUCACAGUAGAAACUGCACCUACUUACAGCUCUUUUUUAACACGCGCAGAUGUAUCACCUGCUUCGAACUUGUUUUACGAACUUUCCAAUCUAAUUAGGAGAACUAUCUGCUCUUGUUGAUGGCAAACGCGUAGCUCGAAAUGGAGGCAAGGAACGGGCGACUCUGCAGCGAAACUGGUUGCCGAAUCAUUCGACGAGUGAGUGGCCAUCGGCACAAGAGGGUAAACAUGUGAAACGGUCGCGUUCAGCAAGCCGAUUCAACUGGUAACAGUCGAGGCGAUCCUCGCCAAUUCCAUAACCCAGUAAUAUACCAGCAGUCGCUUCCAAACCCAGGUACAACGGGAUUCGGCAAUAGUUCUAUUGGCGUCGGCUCGGAUACGAGAAGUAAAAGUCUUCGGUGGUCUUUUUGGGGUCACGAGGAAACUAUGUCGACGUUAGCGGCGCAGUCAAUAAACGCGACCAAAGCUGUUUCUUCUGUUUGUGCCGACGGCUCUGGCCCGGCAACGACGUUUGCGAACGGUCGAUCAAUACAUGUUUUGCGAAGACCGAGUCGGUUAAAGCAGAUGUGUGCUUCAAACGCGCGUUCGUCGAAAGCUAUCUCUUGAGGCGCUCGAAUAUUGACCGUACUACAUACUGACUUUCUCUGUGCUAACCGUUGGGACAGGGGUCGGCAGCAUCGAUGGAAACGCUUGGCGCUCUAUGCACGCCUUGAGUGAAGAAUGACUUUUUUACGGGCUACAACUACUACAAAGACCUACUGCGUGGCAAGUGGUGCGUUUUAUUACACAGAAUGCAAAAUCGGCUUUUCUUAUAUGGCGUAAAUCAUUAUUUUUAAAACUAAAUACAAUAGGACAUAGGAAAUCCGAUGAGCUAGAGCGAGCCAAACAGCAGCUUUCUACGAGAACCAUUUUGUGUAUUAUUUGAUAAUUUCCAAUUGAUUGGCGUGCUUGUAAAUUCUAAUUUGUAUAAUCUGAUUAUAAUGAAUUAUCCUCCACAUAUAUAUAUAUAUAUAUAUAUAUAUAUAUAUAUAUAAAACCUGCGCGCAUGUUUUUUACUGCCGGGAAUCCAUAACCUCUUAGACUAGUUAAGAGCGAAAAAAUGAGGGUGAGAAAAGUUCAGUUGCAACGCCAAUUUGCUGUAGGCAAAAUUGCCCCAGAAAUGUAAUCCAGCGUCGGUGACUCUAUUAAUAAAGACAUUCAAUAGAGGCGAUUUGGGAAUGAUUGUUCGUUUUGGAUGCCAUUGCAGGGAUAUGUACACACACCAGAAAGUCACAUAUUUAGUCUCGUUAACAUAAUAAAGGAACGUCAGCGGGCCUGACAAAGGCAGCUGCAGGGAACAAUAAAGGCUCCCAGCCAUUGAAACGUGACUACGAAAAAAUAAAUGUUUCUUUCAUCCUCAUGCC